CACAGAUUUGGAAAGUUGUGGAAUUCCAAGACCGGAGUGCAGCAGUUGUGCCGUCCAGCUGGGUGGUAGAUGUUGACGGAGAAGUGGGAUGCUACUGGCCAACCUUUGGCGGAAACAAAGCUGUGAAGGCCGCCAUGAACUGCACCCCCCCGGGACAAGGAUGGCGAUUCCAUCAAAAAAUAAGGGUGCUGGCAACCUGUGGCACCUUUGCCAAAGCAAGACGUUACCUGACCCGAUCGCUUGAGGAAGGCUGCCUUACAGCAGACCUGCAAUCGGAUGAUGGUGAGAUGGGGCCAAGGAAAAGACGACCAAACAAAAGGUAUUUGGAGGAGGACAGCGAGGAGGAGGCAGGACCAAGCCGUAGGGGGAGGAGGCCACCAUCUAUUGACGCCACU